CUGGCGGCGUGCCUAAUACAUGCAAGUCGAACGCACUCUCGUUUAGAUUGAAGGAGUUUGCUCCUGAUUGAUAAACAUUUGAGUGAGUGGCGGACGGGUGAGUAACACGUGGGUAACCUGCCCUAAAGUGGGGGAUAACAUUUGGAAACAGAUGCUAAUACCGCAUAAAACCUAACACCACAUGGUGUAGGGUUGAAAGAUGGUUUCGGCUAUCACUUUAGGAUGGACCCGCGGUGCAUUAGUUAGUUGGUGAGGUAAAGGCUCACCAAGACCGUGAUGCAUAGCCGACCUGAGAGGGUAAUCGGCCACACUGGGACUGAGACACGGCCCAGACUCCUACGGGAGGCAGCAGUAGGGAAUCUUCCACAAUGGACGAAAGUCUGAUGGAGCAACGCCGCGUGAGUGAAGAAGGUUUUCGGAUCGUAAACUCUGUUGUUGGAGAAGAAUGUAUCUGAUAGUAACUGAUCAGGUAGUGACGGUAUCCAACCAGAAAGCCACGGCUAACUACGUG
rnacentral:rRNA from 1 species